AUUGAACGCUGGCGGCAUGCCUAACACAUGCAAGUCGAGCGGAGCGGCGGACGGGUGAUUAAUGCCUAGGAAUCUGCCUGGUAGUGGGGGAUAACGUCCGGAAACGUUCGCUAAUACCUCAUACCAUCCGAUGAUCCCAGGUCGGAUUAGCUAGUUGGUGGGGUAAAGGCCUACCAAGGCGACGAUCCGUAACUGGUCUGAGAGGAGUACCAGUCACACGGGAACUGAGAAACGGUCCAGACUCCAACGGGAGGCAGCAGUGGGGAAUAUUGGACAAUGGGCGAAAACCUGAUCCAGCCAUGCCGAGUGUGUGAAGAAGGUCUUCGGAUCGUAAAGCACUUUAAGUUGGGAGGUGUUACCAAAAGAAUAAGCACCGGCUAACUCCGUGCCAGCAGCCGCGGUAAUAC
rnacentral:rRNA from 1 species